AUUGAACGCUGGCGGCAUGCCUUACACAUGCAAGUCGAACGGCAGCACGGGUGCUUGCACCUGGUGGCGAGUGGCGAACGGGUGAGUAAUACAUCGGAACGUACCUUAUCGUGGGGGAUAACGCAGCGAAAGCUGUGCUAAUACCGCAUACGCCCUGAGGGGGAAAGCGGGAGAUCGCAAGACCUCGCGCGAUUAGAGCGGCCGAUGCCUGAUUAGCUUGUUGGUGGGGUAAAAGCCCACCAAGGCGACGAUCAGUAGCUGGUCUGAGAGGACGAUCAACCACACUGGGACUGAGACACGGCCCAGACCCCUACGGGAGGCAGCAGUGGGGAAUUUUGGACAAUGGGGGCAACCCUGAUCCAGCAAUGCCGCGUGAGUGAAGAAGGCCUUCGGGUUGUAAAGCUCUUUUGUCAGGGAAGAAACGCCGGCUCUAACACAGUCUGGGAAUGACGGUACCUGAAGAAUAAGCACCGGCUAACUACGUGCCAGCAGCCGCCGUAA
rnacentral:rRNA from 1 species